rnacentral:rRNA from 1 species
AUUGAACGCUGGCGGCAGGCCUAACACAUGCAAGUCGGGCGGAGCGGCGGACGGGUGAGUAAUGUAUGAGGAUCUGCCUGGUAGUGGGGGAUAACGUCCGGAAACGGGCGCUAAUAACGCAUACUACAAGAUGAGCCUAGGUCGGAUUUGCUAGUUGGUGGGGUAAAGGCCGAACAAGGCGACGAUCCGUAACUGGUCUGAGUGGAUGAUCAGCCACACUGGAACUGAGACACGGUCCAGACGCCUACGGGAUGUAGCAGUGGGGAAUAUUGGACAAUGGGCGAAAGCCUGAUCCAGCCAUGCCGCGUGUGUGAAGAAGGUCUUCGGAUUGUAAAGCACUUUAAGUUGGGAGGCGUUACCAACAGAAUAAGCACCGGCUAACUUCGUGCCAGCCGCCGCGGUAAUUC